GACGAACGCUGGCGGCGUGCUUAACACAUGCAAGUCGAACGGAAAGGCCCUGCUUUUGUGGGGUGCUCGAGUGGCGAACGGGUGAGUAACACGUGAGUAACCUGUCCUUGACUUUGGGAUAACUUCAGGAAACUGGGGCUAAUACCGGAUAGGAGCUCCUGCUGCAUGGUGGGGGUUGGAAAGUUUCGGCGGUUGGGGAUGGACUCGCGGCUUAUCAGCUUGUUGGUGGGGUAGUGGAUUACCAAGGCUUUGACGGGUAGCCGGCCUGAGAGGGUGACCGGACACAUUAGGCUGGAGCUGCGGCCCAGCCUCCUACGGGAGGCAGCGGUGGGGAGUAGUGCACAGUGGGCGGAACGCUAAUGUAGCAACGCCACGUGCGGGAUGACGGCAUUUGGGUUGUAAACCGCUUUCGCCUGUGACGAAGCGUGAGUGACGGUAAUGGGUAAAGAAGCUCCGGCUAACUACGUG
rnacentral:rRNA from 1 species